CAGUCGCCGCGGGAAUACGGAGGGUGCAAGCGUUAAUCGGAAUUACUGGGCGUAAAGCGCACGCAGGCGGUCUGACAAGUCAGAUGUGAAAUCCCCGGGCUUAACCUGGGAACUGCAUUUGAAACUGUCAGGCUGGAGUCUUGUAGAGGGGGGUAGAAUUCCAGGUGUAGCGGUGAAAUGCGUAGAGAUCUGGAGGAAUACCGGUGGCGAAGGCGGCCCCCUGGACAAAGACUGACGCUCAGGUGCGAAAGCGUGGGGAGCAAACAGGAUUAGAUACCCCUGUAGUCCCUGUCUCUUAUAC
rnacentral:rRNA from 1 species